CAGUCGCCGCGGUAAUACGAGGGGGGCAAGCGUUGUUCGGAAUUAUUGGGCGUAAAGGGUGCGUAGGCGGCUUGACAAGUCUUGUGUGAAAUCUAUGGGCUCAACCCAUAGUCUGCACGGGAAACUGUCGGGCUUGAGAAUGGGAGAGGUGAGUGGAAUUUCCGGUGUAGCGGUGAAAUGCGUAGAUAUCGGAAGGAACACCUGUGGCGAAAGCGGCUCACUGGACCAUUUCUGACGCUGAUGCACGAAAGCUAGGGGAGCAAACAGGAUUAGAGACCCGUGUAGUCCCUGUCUCUUAUAC
rnacentral:rRNA from 1 species